UGCACAGUGGCACAGUUGGUAGCACCGUUGACCUAAAAAUGUCCUGGGUUCGAUUCCCAGCCGGGAAUUACUGCAU